CUCAGAGGAUGAGUUUUUUUGUGGGGAAAGCCUACAAAAAAACGGUUUCCCCAGGCCCCUCGAGUGAAAAUACCAGCCCUCAUCACUCCGCAGUCUGCCCCCCAGCCCACUGAUAGCAACCAUCAUAAUGCCCCACCCAGCUUCCGGCACCUUUCGCCACUCCGGCACAAACCGACACAGCUUUGCGAUCUCGCCAGCAUGCAGAGUCUGAUGUCUUCCCUAUAGAUGAUUCCAGAGACUCUGUGAAGCCACUAUUACAAGGCAAGUUUGAAAAUCUUGGAAUUUCA